rnacentral:rRNA from 1 species
UACAGAGGUCUCAAGCGUUGUUCGGAAUUACUGGGCGUAAAGGGUGCGCAGGCCGCGCGGGCAGUCAAAUGUGUAAUCCAGGGGCUCAACCCCUGAACUGCGCUUGAUACUUCCGCGCUCGAGCUUUGGAGAGGAGUCUGGAAUUCUCGGUGUAGCAGCGAAAUGCGUGGAUAUCGAGAAGAACACUUAGGGCGUAGGCAAGACUCUGGACAAAUGCUGACGCUCAUGCACGAAGGCUAGGGUAGCGAACGGG